rnacentral:rRNA from 1 species
UGGGGAAUAUUGCACAAUGGGCGCAAGCCUGAUGCAGCAACGCCGCGUGAGGGAUGACGGCCUUCGGGUUGUAAACCUCUUUUAGCAGGGAAGAAGCGAAAGUGACGGUACCUGCAGAAAAAGCACCGGCUAACUACGUGCCAGCAGCCGCGGUAAUACGUAGGGUGCAAGCGUUGUCCGGAAUUAUUGGGCGUAAAGAGCUCGUAGGCGGUUUGUCGCGUCUGCUGUGAAAUCCCGAGGCUCAACCUCGGGUCUGCAGUGGGUACGGGCAGACUAGAGUGCGGUAGGGGAGAUUGGAAUUCCUGGUGUAGCGGUGGAAUGCGCAGAUAUCAGGAGGAACACCGAUGGCGAAGGCAGAUCUCUGGGCCGUAACUGACGCUGAGGAGCGAAAGCGUGGGGAGCGAACAGGAUUAGAUACCCUGGUAGUCCACGCCGUAAACGUUGGGCGCUAGAUGUGGGGACCAUUCCAC